rnacentral:rRNA from 1 species
GACAGAGGGUGCAAACGUUGCUCGGAAUCACUGGGCGUAAAGGGCGUGUAGGCGGGAAGGAAAGUCAGAUGUGAAAUCCCUGGGCUCAACCCAGGAACUGCAUUUGAAACUCCCUUUCUUGAGUACCGGAGAGGAAAGUGGAAUUCCUGGUGUAGAGGUGAAAUGCGCAGAUAUCAGGAGGAACACCGGUGGCGAAGGCGGGUCUCUGGGCCGUAACUGACGCUGAGGAGCGAAAGCAUGGGGAGCGAACAGG